rnacentral:rRNA from 1 species
UACGUAGGGUGCAAGCGUUGUCCGGAAUUAUUGGGCGUAAAGAGCUCGUAGGCGGUUUGUCGCGUCUGCUGUGAAAACCCGAGGCUCAACCUCGGGCCUGCAGUGGGUACGGGCAGACUAGAGUGCGGUAGGGGAGAAUGGAAUUCCUGGUGUAGCGGUGGAAUGCGCAGAUAUCAGGAGGAACACCGAUGGCGAAGGCAGUUCUCUGGGCCGUAACUGACGCUGAGGCGCGAAAGCGUGGGGAGCGAACAGG